AUUCUUAUCACUGUUAUAAUAUCACAGGUGAAAACUGGCAGAACGGUAGGUUAUUGAACUAAUAGGCUAUUCAUUUUCAUGGAAUCCCACGUGCAAAAAAA